rnacentral:rRNA from 1 species
GAUGAACGCUGGCGGCGUGCCUAAUACAUGCAAGUCGAGCGAACAGAUAAGGAGCUUGCUCCUUUGACGUUAGCGGCGGACGGGUGAGUAACACGUGGGUAACUUACCUAUAAGACUGGAAUAACUCCGGGAAACCGGGGCUAAUGCCGGAUAACAUGUUGAACCGCAUGGUUCUACAGAGAAAGGCGGCUUUGCUGUCACUUAUAGAUGGACCCGCGCCGUAUUAGCUAGUUGGUGAGGUAACGGCUCACCAAGGCAACGAUACGUAGCCGACCUGAGAGGGUGAUCGGCCACACUGGAACUGAGACACGGUCCAGACUCCUACGGGAGGCAGCAGUAGGGAAUCUUCCGCAAUGGGCGAAAGCCUGACGGAGCAACGCCGCGUGAGUGAUGAAGGUCUUCGGAUCGUAAAACUCUGUUAUUAGGGAAGAACAAAUGCGUAAGUAACUGUGCGCGUCUUGACGGUACCUAAUCAGAAAGCCACGGCUAACUACGUG